CCAAACUCCUACGGGAGGCAGCAGUGAGGAAUAUUGGUCAAUGGGCGGAAGCCUGAACCAGCCAAGUAGCGUGCAGGACGACGGCCCUAUGGGUUGUAAACUGCUUUUAUGCGGGGAUAAAGUGGGCCACGUGUGGCCUUUUGCAGGUACCGCAUGAAUAAGGACCGGCUAAUUCCGUGCCAGCAGCCGCGGUAAUACGGAAGGUCCGGGCGUUAUCCGGAUUUAUUGGGUUUAAAGGGAGCGUAGGCCGGAGAUUAAGCGUGUUGUGAAAUGUAGACGCUCAACGUCUGCACUGCAGCGCGAACUGGUUUCCUUGAGUACGCACAAAGUGGGCGGAAUUCGUGGUGUAGCGGUGAAAUGCUUAGAUAUCACGAAGAACUCCGAUUGCGAAGGCAGCUCACUGGAGCGCAACUGACGCUGAAGCUCGAAAGUGCGGGUAUCGAACAGGAUUAGAUACCCUGGUAGUCCGCACGGUAAACGAUGGAUGCCCGCUAUUCGGCCCUUGUGGUUGAGUGGCCAAGCGAAAGCGUUAAGCAUCCCACCUGGGGAGUACGCCGGCAACGGUGAAACUCAAAGGAAUUGACGGGGGCCCGCACAAGCGGAGGAACAUGUGGUUUAAUUCGAUGAUACGCGAGGAACCUUACCCGGGCUUGAAUUGCAGAGGAAGGAUUUGGAGACAAUGACGCCCUUCGGGGUCUCUGUGAAGGUGCUGCAUGGUUGUCGUCAGCUCGUGCCGUGAGGUGUCGGCUUAAGUGCCAUAACGAGCGCAACCCCUCUCCUUAGUUGCCAUCAGGUCAAGCUGGGCACUCUGGGGACACUGCCACCGUAAGGUGUGAGGAAGGUGGGGAUGACGUCAAAUCAGCACGGCCCUUACGUCCGGGGCUACACACGUGUUACAAUGGCAGGUACAGAGAGAUGGUGUUCUGCAAAGCGCAUCUAAUCCUUAAAGCCUGUCUCAGUUCGGACUGGGGUCUGCAACCCGACCCCACGAAGCUGGAUUCGCUAGUAAUCGCGCAUCAGCCAUGGCGCGGUGAAUACGUUCCCGGGCCUUGUACACACCGCCCGUCAAGCCAUGGAAGUUGGGGGUACCUGAAGUGCGUGACCGCAAGGAGCGUCCGAGGGUAAAUCCAGUGACUGGGGCUAAGUCGUAACAAGGUAGCCGUACCGGAAGGUGCGGCUG
rnacentral:rRNA from 1 species